rnacentral:rRNA from 1 species
AGAGUUUGAUCCUGGCUCAGGACGAACGCUGGCGGCGUGCUUAACACAUGCAAGUGGUGCGACGAACCAGGGCUUGCCCUGGGGCCAAGCCGCGAACGGGUGAGUAACACGUGGGUAAUCUGCCCCGAUGACCGGGACAACCCGAGGAAACUCGGGCUAAUACCGGAUGUGGUGCUUGGACAUAAGUCCUUGUACUAAAGGAAGCUUCGGCCUCCGCAUUGGGAGGUGCCCGCGGCCCAUUAGCUUGUUGGUGGGGUAAUGGCCUACCAAGGCGACGAUGGGUAGCUGGUCUGAGAGGACGAUCAGCCACACUGGGACUGAGACACGGCCCAGACUCCUACGGGAGGCAGCAGUGGGGAAUCUUGCGCAAUGCGCGAAAGCGUGACGCAGCAACGCCGCGUGGGGGAAGACGGCCUUCGGGUUGUAAACCCCUUUCAGGAGGGACGAAGGUUCACCGGUGAAUAGCCGUGUGGAUUGACGGUACCUCCACAAGAAGCUCCGGCUAACUACGUGCCAGCAGCCGCGGUA